rnacentral:rRNA from 1 species
UGCCGGCAGGCCUAACACAUGCAAGUCGAGCGCGCCUUCGGGUGAGCGGCGGACGGGUUAGUAACGCGUGGGAACGUGCCCUUCUCUACGGAAUAGCCUCUGGAAACGGAGAGUAAUACCGUAUACGCCCUUUGGGGGAAAGAUUUAUCGGAGAAGAGAUCGGCCCGCGUUAGAUUAGGUAGUUGGUGGGGUAACGGCCUACCAAGCCUACGAUCUAUAGCUGGUUUUAGAGGAUGAUCAGCAACACUGGGACUGAGACACGGCCCAGACUCCUACGGGAGGCAGCAGUGGGGAAUCUUAGACAAUGGGGGCAACCCUGAUCUAGCCAUGCCGCGUGAGUGAUGAAGGCCUUAGGGUCGUAAAGCUCUAUCGCCUGUGAUGAUAAUGACAGUAGCAGGUAAAGAAACCCCGGCUAACUCCGUGCCAGCAGCCGCGGUAAUACGGAGGGGGUUAGCGUUGUUCGGAAUUACUGGGCGUAAAGCGCGCGU